UACAGAGGGUGCAAGCGUUAAUCGGAAUUACUGGGCGUAAAGCGUGCGUAGACGGUAGCGUAAGUCGGGUGUGAAAGCCCCGGGCUCAACCUGGGAAUUGCAUUCGAGACUGCUCUGCUAGGGUGCGGAAGAGGGAAGCGGAAUUUCCGGUGUAGCGGUGAAAUGCGUAGAUAUCGGAAGGAACAUCAGUGGCGAAAGCGACUUCCUGGACCAAUACUGACGCUCAUGUGCGAAAGCGUGGGGGAGCAAACAG
rnacentral:rRNA from 1 species